rnacentral:rRNA from 1 species
ACAAUGCGGGACUAUCAGUCUUGCAAUUGGAUUGAGAACAAUGUACAACUCUUAUCGAUAAGCCAUUGGAGGGCAAGUCUGGUGCCAGCAGCCGCGGUAAUUCCAGCUCCAAUAGCGUAUAUUAACGUUGUUGCAGUUAAAAAGCUCGUAGUUGAAGUGUGGGUGAUCGCUGUUGUGAGACUUCGGUCUCUCGACAGUAAGUCACCCCCUUCCAGUAUCCAGUAGUGGGUAUUCAGUUACUUACUAUUGUGUGUUGGUCAUUUACUGUGAGAAAAUUAGAGUGUUCAAAGCAGGCGUUUGCUUGAAUAGAUUAGCAUGGAAUAAUAAUUGAAGGCUUUCGUGUUCGAUUUGAUUGGUUUGUUCAUGGAAGCAAGGUUAAAAGGAACAGUUGGGGGUAUUCAUA